rnacentral:rRNA from 1 species
CGACNGGUCACACUGUGACUGAGACACGGCCCAGACUCCUGCGGGAGGCAGCAGAGGGGAAUAUUGCGCAAUGGGCGGAAGCCUGACGCAGCGACGCCGCGUGAGGGAUGACGGCCUUCGGGUUGUAAACCUCUUUCAGCACAGACCAAGGCUCAGUUUUUGCUGGGUUGAGUGUAUGUGCAGAAGAAGCACCGGCUAACUACGUGCCAGCAGCCBCGGUAAUACGUAGGGUGCUAGCGUUGUCCGGAUUUAUUGGGCGUAAAGGGCUCGUAGGCGGUUUGUCGCGUCGGGUGUGAAAUCCUACUGCUUAACGGUGGGCUUGCAUUCGGUACGGGCAGACUAGAGUGUGGCAGGGGAGACUGGAAUUCCUGGUGUAGCGGUGGAAUGCGCAGAUAUCAGGAGGAACACCGGUGGCGAAGGCGGGUCUCUGGGCCAUUACUGACGCUGAGGAGCGAAAGCGUGGGGAGCGAACAGGAUUAGAUACCCUGGUAGUCCACGCUGUAAACGUUGGGCGCUAGGUGUGGGGACUGUUCCACGGUUUCCGUGCCGUAGCUAACGCAUUAAGCGCCCCGCCUGGGGAGUACGGCCGCAAGGCUAAAACUCAAAGGAAUUGACGGGGGCCCGCACAAGCGGCGGAGCAUGCGGCUUAACUCGAUGCAACGCGAAGAACCUUACCAGGGCUUGACAUGCACGGUUUACUCGCAGAGAUGCGGGGUCCUUUGGGGCCGUGUAGCAGGUGGUGCAUGGUUGUCGUCAGCUCGUGUCGUGAGAUGUUGGGUUAAGUCCCGCAACGAGYGCAACCCUUGUCCUGUGUUGCCAGCACGCACUUAGGUGUGGUGGGGACUCGUGGGAGACUGCCGGGGUCAACUCGGAGGAAGGUGGGGACGACGUCAAAUCAUCAUGCCCCUUAUGUCCUGGGCUGCACGCAUGCUACAAUGGCCGGUACAAAGGGCUGCGAUACCGUGAGGUGGAGCNAAUCCCAUAAAGCCGGUCUCAGUUCGGAUCGGGGUCUGCAACUCGACCCCGUGAAGUYGGAGUCGCUAGUAAUCGCAGAUYAGA